UGGGGAAUAUUGCACAAUGGGCGAAAGCCUGAUGCAGCGACGCCGCGUGAGGGAUGACGGCCUUCGGGUUGUAAACCUCUUUCAGCAGGGAAGAAGCGAAAGUGACGGUACCUGCAGAAGAAGCGCCGGCUAACUACGUGCCAGCAGCCGCGGUAAUACGUGAGGGCGCAAGCGUUGUCCGGAAUUAUUGGGCGUAAAGAGCUCGUAGGCGGUUAGUCGCGUCUGCUGUGAAAACUCGAGGCUCAACCUCGGGCUUGCAGUGGGUACGGGCUGACUAGAGUGCGGUAGGGGUGACUGGAAUUCCUGGUGUAGCGGUGGAAUGCGCAGAUAUCAGGAGGAACACCGAUGGCGAAGGCAGGUCACUGGGCCGCAACUGACGCUGAGGAGCGAAAGCAUGGGGAGCGAACAGGAUUAGAUACCCUGGUAGUCCAUGCCGUAAACGUUGGGCACUAGGUGUGGGGUCCAUUCCACGGAUUCCGUGCCGCGGCAAACGCAUUAAGUGCCCCGCCUGGGGAGUACGGCCGCAAGGCUAAAACUCAAAGGAAUUGACGGGGUCAUAGCUGUUUCCU
rnacentral:rRNA from 1 species